GAAGGUGCAGCUCAGGGGCAGAGCGUGUGCUUAGCACACACAAGAUCCUGGGUUCAAACCCCAGUGCCUCCA
rnacentral:tRNA from 1 species